rnacentral:rRNA from 1 species
AUUAAACGCUGGCGGCAUGCCUUACACAUGCAAGUCGAACGGUAGCGCGGGGCAACCUGGCGACGAGUGGCGAACGGGUGAGUAAAGCAUCGGAACGUGCCCUGGAAUGGGGGAUAACGUAGCGAAAGUUACGCUAAUACCGCAUAUUCUGUGAGCAGGAAAGCAGGGGAUCGCAAGACCUUGCGUUCUGGGAGCGGCCGAUGUCGGAUUAGCUAGUUGGUGGGUAAAAGCCUACCAAGGCGACGAUCCGUAGCGGGUCUGAGAGGAUGAUCCGCCACACUGGGACUGAGACACGGCCCAGACUCCUACGGGAGGCAGCAGUGGGGAAUUUUGGACAAUGGGCGGAAGCCUGAUCCAGCCAUGCCGCGUGAGUGAAGAAGGCCU